GACGAACGCUGGCGGCGUGCUUAACACAUGCAAGUCGAACGAAGAGCGAUGGAAGCUUGCUUCUAUCAAUCUUAGUGGCGAACGGGUGAGUAACGCGUAAUCAACCUGCCCUUCAGAGGGGGACAACAGUUGGAAACGACUGCUAAUACCGCAUACGAUCUAAUCUCGGCAUCGAGGAUAGAUGAAAGGUGGCCUCUACAUGUAAGCUAUCACUGAAGGAGGGGAUUGCGUCGGAUUAGCUAGUUGGAGGGGUAACGGCCCACCAAGGCGAUGAUCAGUAGCCGGUCUGAGAGGAUGAACGGCCACAUUGGGACUGAGACACGGCCCAGACUCCUACGGGAGGCAGCAGUGGGGAAUCUUCCGCAAUGGACGAAAGUCUGACGGAGCAACGCCGCGUGAGGGAUGACGGCCUUCGGGUUGUAAAGCUCUGUUAAUCGGGACGAAAGGCCUUCUUGCGAAUAGUGAGAAGGAUUGACGGUACCGGAAGAGAAAGCCACGGCUAACUACGUG
rnacentral:rRNA from 1 species